UACGUAGGGUGCGAGCGUUGUCCGGAAUUACUGGGCGUAAAGAGCUCGUAGGUGGUUUGUCACGUCGUCUGUGAAAUUCCGGGGCUUAACCUCGGGCGUGCAGGCGAUACGGGCAGGCUAGAGUUCGGUAGGGGAGAUCGGAACUCCUGGUGUAGCGGUGAAAUGCGCAGAUAUCAGGAGGAACACCGAUGGCGAAGGCAGGUCUCUGGGCCACUACUGACGCUGAGAAGCGAAAGCAUGGGGAGCGAACAGGAUUAGAUACCCU
rnacentral:rRNA from 1 species